ACACAGCUGCAGCCUAGCGAACCAGAGGCCCAGGUCUGUCUGAGGUCACGAGGCACAAUCAAAGACAAUGAAGAAGAAUCCGGAGCCUCUCUCAAUUCUCCCAAUCCUGGGACAGGGCAGGAUCCCUCCAGAUCCACCUUUUCUCUGUCGUCUCCUGGAUCAGUCUGCUCAGACCUGGGCUGAUAGGCCAGAGAUUUGAAGAAUACCACAGUCGGGAAUUGCCCUUCUCAUGAGAUCGUAUCAGCGGGUGAAUGAUAGCAACGUGACUUAGUGGUGAUGUUAACCUUCAUCAUUUGGUUAACAAGCUGCCCACGGGUUUCUCAUCAAGAUAGUAAUUCAUUGUACAGGGAAGGGAACUCACCAUGUGGAAAUUCCCACUUCCUCGGAGAACAGUGUGCACAGUGUUAACCUUGGUGAGUAAGAAUUCCCCCUCCUCUCACACCCCCAUUGGCAGCUUUCCUCUCGGAAGCCUGUGGUCACCUUCAGUCUUAUCCACAUCUGAAAAGUGACGUAGGGGCAAAUCUGCCAAGCACCAACAACCCGAGCGAUUGGAGCAGAUAUUGUCAUCUUUUUGGUCUGCCCAGCAACCCCUCUGACAAUAGCACUUCAGUUUUCCUUUGGUGGAAAGCGGCUCUUCUUCCCUCUUUUCAUGUGAUUCUGGUAGGGGAGGGAGUACGUGACCCAAGCCUGGCCAUCACAGAGAUACAUCUCUCUGGCCACAGGGAAGGACAUAUAGCCCAAGCUGGGCCAGUCAGUCACCUUUGGCCGACACUGCUAGACUGUAAGGCAGGGCAGAGCCUGUCUGAGGAUGGAAAACUAAGAGAUGGACAGAGGCCUGAAAGCAACCUCAGAGCUCCUGGGUCCAGCUGGUCUUUUUAGUUAUAAGCAACUUAUAAGCAACUUUCUUUCUUUCCUUCCUUCUUUCCUCCCUUCCUCCCUCCCUCCCUCCCUCCCUUCCUUCCUUCCUUCCUUUUCUAUUAAAUGAAAUUUAUAGGAGGUCACUGAUUUGGGCUGAGCUCCUGCAGGAGGCCCCAGUAGACCAAACCAAGAUGGAGUCACUCAUGCUAAGUUCCAUAUCACCAAACUGAAACUGAGUCAUCAGACCUUCCCAGAACUCAAGACAGAGAGAGAUAAUAUGCAAAUCCCCAAACAGGCCAGCUGUAGCCAGCAUGAUAAGGAAGUCCCCUCUACUUUAACCUUUAUAAGGAAAGUAACCUGAAGUAACCUGAGCUUACCAAUCUGCUUUUUGUUCCCUGUGUCUGCUUUCUUCACCCUUUUCUGCCUAUAAAGCCAAGCUUCUCUGUUUAGCUCAUCAGAACACUUUUCCUAAAGUUUUAGAGGAGAUGCUGCCCCAAUUCAUGAAUUACAAAUAAAAACCAAUUCAAUCAUUUA